rnacentral:rRNA from 1 species
AACGAACGCUGGCGGCAUGCCUAACACAUGCAAGUCGAACGAGACCUUCGGGUCUAGUGGCGCACGGGUGCGUAACGCGUGGGAACCUGCCCUUAGGUUCGGAAUAACUCCCCGAAAGGGGUGCUAAUACCGGAUAAUGUCUUCGGACCAAAGAUUUAUCGCCUUUGGAUGGGCCCGCGUUGGAUUAGCUAGUUGGUAGGGUAAAAGCCUACCAAGGCGACGAUCCAUAGCUGGUCUGAGAGGAUGAUCAGCCACACUGGGACUGAGACACGGCCCAGACUCCUAUGGGAGGCAGCAGUGGGGAAUAUUGGACAAUGGGCGAAAGCCUGAUCCAGCAAUGCCGCGUGAGUGAUGAAGGCCGUAGGGUUGUAAAGCUCUUUUACCCGGGAUGAUAAUGACAGUACCGGGAGAAUAAGCUCCGGCUAACUCCGUG